rnacentral:rRNA from 1 species
ACGGGAAAUCUCACCAGGCCCGGACACUGGCAGGAUUGACAGAUUGAGAGCUCUUUCUCGAUUCGGUGGGUGGUGGUGCAUGGCCGUUCUUAGUUGGUGGAGUGAUUUGUCUACUUAAUUGUGAUAACGAACGAGACUCUGUCCUGCUAAAUAGUCCCGUCGCCUCUUAUUGCGGCGGGAAUUCUUCUUAGAGGGACUGGCGAUAUCUAGUCGCACGAGAUUGAGCAAUAA